AUAUAUAUAUAUUUAUAUAUAUUCAGAAGAUGUGGGCCCAACUGAAACUGGAAUACUAACGGCCCCGAGGAUGGACUAGAAAAGUGACGAGCACGAAGGAACGAGAAGGAGAAGAAGAAGGUGGAAAAGGAGGAGAAGAAGAAGGAACAUGUCUAGACUCUGUGCUGCUUCUUGACUGUGUGAAAAGAGGUCGUUUCAGACUGAACUGAACAAGUUUUUUAACAAAAGCAUUUUGUAUUUUCCUGCACACGUCCAUCUUUUUUUGUUGUUUUUUUGUGUACAGUAAACGGUAUAUUUAUAAUUUUAAUUUAUUUAUUUAAGCUAACUGUAUUUAUAGAGACUUUAACCACCUUCAGCCGUUUUUAAAAUAAUGAUGUUACAGUUAUUUUUAUAUUUCUUAUCGGAACGAUAUUUAUUUAUGAAACAGAAAAGCAAACGAUGCAGAAGCUCCUUGAGAUGUUCAGCAUUUAAUGGAAAGAAGAGAUAUGAUGCAUAAUUAUCUGAUUUCUGGCUUUAAGUUUGGCAGUCUGUACAAGAUCAAUAGCACUGUGAUUAAAAAAAUUGAUCGUUGAAUAGACAGAUUUUUAAAAACUUUUUUAAUUUUUUAUUUAGGUUAGUAUAGAGCAAUGCUUUUCAGGAACACCCUACCCACACUCACACAGUUACACACAUUCAACCAGUUGGAUCUGGCAGCCAAUCAGCAGCUCCUCUGUAGUAGUUGAGGGUUCGGGGCCGUGCUCAAAGGCACAUCAGUGGUGGUAAUGGGGUAGGGGCUGCUCUUCCAGCUACAUUAAACAUGCAGUAGGUAGUCCUUCUCAAUGUUAUAAGAUCAGACCAAUGCCUGUCAUUUACAAUGCAUUGCACUUGCUAUUAAUUGAGUAAAGGUAACAGAAAAACUUCAUUUAGCAACUGCAAUGUAAAGAAACCUUUUAAAAGGGAGUCAAAUAUGAAAUGCACUGUAUCAGGAAUUUGGUAUGAAUAUGUUUCAUUACCAUCAUUAGAAGAGAAACUGUCAGAUCUAUGUUCAGCUGUCAAGCAAAACCAAAAUGUGAAUUCAAGUGUUCCACCCUUUCAAAUCCUGUCCUGCAGUUUUGAAGUGAUUUUUAUUUAUGUAAUUUUCUUUUUCCAGAGCAAUUAAAAAA